rnacentral:rRNA from 1 species
CGUUGUCCGGAUUAUUGGGCGUAAAGGGCUUGUAGGCGGUUUGUCGCGUCUGCCGUGAAAUCCUCUGGCUUAACUGGGGGCGUGCGGUGGGUACGGGCAGGCUUGAGUGCGGUAGGGGAGACUGGAACUCCUGGUGUAGCGGUGGAAUGCGCAGAUAUCAGGAAGAACACCGGUGGCGAAGGCGGGUCUCUGGGCCGUUACUGACGCUGAGGAGCGAAAGCGUGGGGAGCGAACAGGAUUAGAUACCCUGGUAGUCCACGCUGUAAACGUUGGGCACUAGGUGUGGGGGCCACCCGUGGUUUCUGCGCCGUAGCUAACGCUUUAAGUGCCCCGCCUGGGGAGUACGGCCGCAAGGCUAAAACUCAAAGGAAUUGACGGGGGCCCGCACAAGCGGCGGAGCAUGCGGAUUAAUUCGAUGCAACGCGAAGAACCUUACCAAGGCUUGACAUGCACGGCGGCACUGCAGAGAUGUGGUGGCAUUUAGUUGGUCGUGUGCAGGUGGUGCAUGGUUGUCGUCAGCUCGUGUCGUGA